rnacentral:rRNA from 1 species
GAUGAACGCUGGCGGCGUGCCUAAUACAUGCAAGUCGAGCGAACGGACGAUAAGCUUGCUUCUCUGAUGUUAGCGGCGGACGGGUGAGUAACACGUGUAUAACCUACCUAUAAGACUGGGAUAACUUCGGGAAACCGGAGCUAAUACCGGAUAAUAUUUUGAACCGCAUGGUUCAAAAGUGAAAGACGGUCUUGCUGUCACUUAUCGAUGGAUCCGCGCUGCAUUAGCUAGUUGGUAAGGUAACGGCUUACCAAGGCAACGAUGCAUAGCCGACCUGAGAGGGUGAUCGGCCACACUGGAACUGAGACACGGUCCAGACUCCUACGGGAGGCAGCAGAAGGGAAUCUUCCGCAAUGGGCGAAAGCCUGACGGAGCAACGCCGCGUGAGUGAUGAAGGUCUUCGGAGCGUAAAACUCUGUUAUUAGGGAAGAACAUAUGUGUAAGUAACUGUGCACAUCUUGACGGUACCGAAUCAGAAAGCCCCGGCUAACUACGUG